UUAAGCGACUAAGCGUACACGGUGGAUGCCCUGGCAGUCAGAGGCGAUGAAGGACGUGCUAAUCUGCGAUAAGCGUCGGUAAGGUGAUAUGAACCGUUAUAACCGGCGAUUUCCGAAUGGGGAAACCCAGUGUGUUUCGACACACUAUCAUUAACUGAAUCCAUAGGUUAAUGAGGCGAACCGGGGGAACUGAAACAUCUAAGUACCCCGAGGAAAAGAAAUCAACCGAGAUUCCCCCAGUAGCGGCGAGCGAACGGGGAGCAGCCCAGAGCCUGAAUCAGUGUGUGUGUUAGUGGAAGCGUCUGGAAAGGCGCGCGAUACAGGGUGACAGCCCCGUACACAAAAAUGCACAUGCUGUGAGCUCGAUGAGUAGGGCGGGACACGUGGUAUCCUGUCUGAAUAUGGGGGGACCAUCCUCCAAGGCUAAAUACUCCUGACUGACCGAUAGUGAACCAGUACCGUGAGGGAAAGGCGAAAAGAACCCCGGCGAGGGGAGUGAAAAAGAACCUGAAACCGUGUACGUACAAGCAGUGGGAGCCCGCUUAGGCGUGUGACUGCGUACCUUUUGUAUAAUGGGUCAGCGACUUAUAUUCUGUAGCAAGGUUAACCGAAUAGGGGAGCCGAAGGGAAACCGAGUCUUAACUGGGCGUUAAGUUGCAGGGUAUAGACCCGAAACCCGGUGAUCUAGCCAUGGGCAGGUUGAAGGUUGGGUAACACUAACUGGAGGACCGAACCGACUAAUGUUGAAAAAUUAGCGGAUGACUUGUGGCUGGGGGUGAAAGGCCAAUCAAACCGGGAGAUAGCUGGUUCUCCCCGAAAGCUAUUUAGGUAGCGCCUCGUGAAUUCAUCUCCGGGGGUAGAGCACUGUUUCGGCAAGGGGGUCAUCCCGACUUACCAACCCGAUGCAAACUGCGAAUACCGGAGAAUGUUAUCACGGGAGACACACGGCGGGUGCUAACGUCCGUCGUGAAGAGGGAAACAACCCAGACCGCCAGCUAAGGUCCCAAAGUCAUGGUUAAGUGGGAAACGAUGUGGGAAGGCCCAGACAGCCAGGAUGUUGGCUUAGAAGCAGCCAUCAUUUAAAGAAAGCGUAAUAGCUCACUGGUCGAGUCGGCCUGCGCGGAAGAUGUAACGGGGCUAAACCAUGCACCGAAGCUGCGGCAGCGACGCUGAUGCGUUGUUGGGUAGGGGAGCGUUCUGUAAGCCUGCGAAGGUGUGCUGUGAGGCAUGCUGGAGGUAUCAGAAGUGCGAAUGCUGACAUAAGUAACGAUAAAGCGGGUGAAAAGCCCGCUCGCCGGAAGACCAAGGGUUCCUGUCCAACGUUAAUCGGGGCAGGGUGAGUCGACCCCUAAGGCGAGGCCGAAAGGCGUAGUCGAUGGGAAACAGGUUAAUAUUCCUGUACUUGGUGUUACUGCGAAGGGGGGACGGAGAAGGCUAUGUUGGCCGGGCGACGGUUGUCCCGGUUUAAGCGUGUAGGCUGGUUUUCCAGGCAAAUCCGGAAAAUCAAGGCUGAGGCGUGAUGACGAGGCACUACGGUGCUGAAGCAACAAAUGCCCUGCUUCCAGGAAAAGCCUCUAAGCAUCAGGUAACAUCAAAUCGUACCCCAAACCGACACAGGUGGUCAGGUAGAGAAUACCAAGGCGCUUGAGAGAACUCGGGUGAAGGAACUAGGCAAAAUGGUGCCGUAACUUCGGGAGAAGGCACGCUGAUAUGUAGGUGAGGUCCCUCGCGGAUGGAGCUGAAAUCAGUCGAAGAUACCAGCUGGCUGCAACUGUUUAUUAAAAACACAGCACUGUGCAAACACGAAAGUGGACGUAUACGGUGUGACGCCUGCCCGGUGCCGGAAGGUUAAUUGAUGGGGUCAGCGCAAGCGAAGCUCUUGAUCGAAGCCCCGGUAAACGGCGGCCGUAACUAUAACGGUCCUAAGGUAGCGAAAUUCCUUGUCGGGUAAGUUCCGACCUGCACGAAUGGCGUAAUGAUGGCCAGGCUGUCUCCACCCGAGACUCAGUGAAAUUGAACUCGCUGUGAAGAUGCAGUGUACCCGCGGCAAGACGGAAAGACCCCGUGAACCUUUACUAUAGCUUGACACUGAACAUUGAGCCUUGAUGUGUAGGAUAGGUGGGAGGCUUUGAAGUGUGGACGCCAGUCUGCAUGGAGCCGACCUUGAAAUACCACCCUUUAAUGUUUGAUGUUCUAACGUUGACCCGUAAUCCGGGUUGCGGACAGUGUCUGGUGGGUAGUUUGACUGGGGCGGUCUCCUCCUAAAGAGUAACGGAGGAGCACGAAGGUUGGCUAAUCCUGGUCGGACAUCAGGAGGUUAGUGCAAUGGCAUAAGCCAGCUUGACUGCGAGCGUGACGGCGCGAGCAGGUGCGAAAGCAGGUCAUAGUGAUCCGGUGGUUCUGAAUGGAAGGGCCAUCGCUCAACGGAUAAAAGGUACUCCGGGGAUAACAGGCUGAUACCGCCCAAGAGUUCAUAUCGACGGCGGUGUUUGGCACCUCGAUGUCGGCUCAUCACAUCCUGGGGCUGAAGUAGGUCCCAAGGGUAUGGCUGUUCGCCAUUUAAAGUGGUACGCGAGCUGGGUUUAGAACGUCGUGAGACAGUUCGGUCCCUAUCUGCCGUGGGCGCUGGAGAACUGAGGGGGGCUGCUCCUAGUACGAGAGGACCGGAGUGGACGCAUCACUGGUGUUCGGGUUGUCAUGCCAAUGGCACUGCCCGGUAGCUAAAUGCGGAAGAGAUAAGUGCUGAAAGCAUCUAAGCACGAAACUUGCCCCGAGAUGAGUUCUCCCUGACCCUUUAAGGGUCCUGAAGGAACGUUGAAGACGACGACGUUGAUAGGCCGGGUGUGUAAGCGCAGCGAUGCGUUGAGCUAACCGGUACUAAUGAACCGUGAGGCUUAACCUU
rnacentral:rRNA from 1 species